rnacentral:rRNA from 1 species
GCAUGACGGGUGUUGGAAAGAUUUUUCGGUCAUGGAUGGACUCGCGGCCUAUCAGCUUGUUGGUGAGGUAAUGGCUCACCAAGGCGACGACGGGUAGCCGGCCUGAGAGGGUGACCGGCCACACUGGGACUGAGACACGGCCCAGACUCCUACGGGAGGCAGCAGUGGGGAAUAUUGCACAAUGGGCGGAAGCCUGAUGCAGCGACGCCGCGUGAGGGAUGACGGCCUUCGGGUUGUAAACCUCUUUCAGUAGGGAAGAAGCGAAAGUGACGGUACCUGCAGAAGAAGCACCGGCUAACUACGUGCCAGCAGCCGCGGUAAUACGUAGGGUGCGAGCGUUAUCCGGAAUUAUUGGGCGUAAAGAGCUCGUAGGCGGUUUGUCGCGUCUGUCGUGAAAGUCCGGGGCUUAACCCCGGAUCUGCGGUGGGUACGGGCAGACUAGAGUGCAGUAGGGGAGACUGGAAUUCCUGGUGUAGCGGUGGAAUGCGCAGAUAUCAGGAGGAACACCGAUGGCGAAGGCAGGUCUCUGGGCUGUAACUGACGCUGAGGAGCGAAAGCAUGGGGAGCGAACAGGAUUAGAUACCCUGGUAGUCCAUGCCGUAAACGUUGGGCACUAGGUGUGGGGACCAUUCCACGGUUUCCGCGCCGCAGCUAACGCAUUAAGUGCCC